rnacentral:rRNA from 1 species
UACGUAGGCAGCGAGCGUUGUUCGGAGUUACUGGGCGUAAAGGGUAUGUGUGCGGUCCCUUAAGUUUGGUGUGAAAUCUCCCGGCUCAACUGGGAGGGUGCGCCGGAUACUGAGGGGCUAGAGUGCGGGAAGGGAAAGUGGAAUUCCUGGUGUAGCGGUGAAAUGCGUAGAUAUCAGGAGGAACACCGGUGGUGCAAACGGCUUUCUGGACCGUAACUGACGCUGAGACACGAAAGCGUGGGGAGCAAACAGG